UCACGAAUCAAGCCUGGCUUGCUGUUGGACCGUUUGUCGUUAAAUAGACAGGUUCUAAAGACAAUGACGGCGUUAAUUGGACCCUAGAUGCAACGAGCUUUCAUUAGCACGCAUGUUAGAAGCCUUUUGACCCCGGACUUACAACCAAUUUCUCA
rnacentral:misc_RNA from 1 species